GAAAUUGGGGGUUGGAUUAAAAUGCGAGUCGAGCGCCUCCAGCUAUGGUGAAGGCGCGGCAUACGGCUCAGUAACACGUGGCUAACCUACCCUUGGGACGGGAACACCCCCGGGAAACCACGCACAGACCCCUAAACGACACAAACACAACUUUUCAAAACGUCAAAAACGCCGAGUAUAUGCCAUCAACAAACAUUUACCUACACCGCCUUGCCGCCCUCUACAAAGGCGAAGGCAAUCUCAAGCUAACCCAAACCACACACUUCUGAAACACAACCUCUAAGGCUCUGGCGUAGCCCAAAACUGGGGUCAAUUCCCGAUAGGCGAUUAGGCCUGGAAUGGUUCUUCACCCAAAAGCCGCUGGAGACAUGCUCUCCAGCGUUGCCCAAGGAUGGGGCCGCGCCCGAUCAGGUUGUUGGUGGGGUAACGGCUCACCAAGCCUAUAACCGGUACGGGCCGUGAGAGCGGGAGCCCGGAGAUGGGCACUGAGACAAGGGCCCAGGCCCUACGGGGCGCAGCAGUCGCGAAAACUCCGCAAUGCGCGAAAGCGUGACGGGGCUACCCCGAGUGCCGUCCGCUGAGGAUGGCUUUUCCCCGGUGUAAUGAGCCGGGGGAAUAAGGAGAGGGCAAGUCUGGUGUCAGCCGCCGCGGUAAUACCAGCUCUCCGAGUGGUAGGGAUGAUUAUUGGGCUUAAAGCGUCCGUAGCCGGCUUAGCAAGUCUCCUGUUAAAUUCAGCGACCUAAUCGUUGAGCCGCGGGAGAUACUACUAGGCUAGGAGGCGGGAGAGGCCGACGGUAUUCUCGGGGUAGGGGUGAAAUCCUAUAAUCCCGGGAGGACCACCAGUGGCGAACGCUGUCGGCUAGAACGCGCUCGACGGUGAGGGACGAAAGCUGGGGGAGCGAACCGGAUUAGAUACCCGGGUAGUCCCAGCUGUAAACGAUGCGGGCUAGGUGUUGGGGUGGCUACGAGCCACUUCAGUGCCGCAGGAAGCCGUUAAGCCCGCCGCCUGGGGAGUACGGCCGCAAGGCUG
rnacentral:rRNA from 1 species